rnacentral:rRNA from 1 species
UACGUAGGGGGCAAGCGUUAUCCGGAAUUAUUGGGCGUAAAGAGCUCGUAGGCGGUUUGUCGCGUCUGCCGUGAAAGUCCGGGGCUCAACUCCGGAUCUGCGGUGGGUACGGGCAGACUAGAGUGCUGUAGGGGAGACUGGAAUUCCUGGUGUAGCGGUGAAAUGCGCAGAUAUCAGGAAGAACACCAAUGGCGAAAGCAGCUCUCUGGGACGGUACUGACGCUGAGACGCGAAAGCGUGGGGAGCGAACAGG